rnacentral:misc_RNA from 1 species
CGCCGAAGGUGGGGCUGAUGACUGGGGUGAAGUCGUAACAAGGUAGCCGUACCGGAAGGUGCGGCUGGAUCACCUCCUAACAGGGAGACAAAAACUGAUUAUUGAUGUCUGAUUAUUUAAUUUCAGGCCAUAAUCCUGUCACCUUAGGUCGAUCGGUACCUCAGGUUAAAGACUUACUGAAAUGAGAAAUCAAAAUAAAUAAGUUUUUAAUUUCAGUUCCUAAACUUGUCUAGGUCACACCCAACAAACUUUCUCCUGGGCUAUUAGCUCAGGCGGUUAGAGCGCACCCCUGAUAAGGGUGAGGUCCCUGGUUCAAGUCCAGGAUGGCCCAUUCGUUGUUGGGGGUAUAGCUCAGUUGGUAGAGCGCCUGCUUUGCAAGCAGGAUGUCAGCGGUUCGAGUCCGCUUACCUCCACUGAUCAACUGCCUGAUAACACAAUUGGAGAUUUGUUAUUUGUUUAUGGUGACUUAGAAAUUGUUCAACUGAAUGAACCUAGCUUCCUAUCAUUCCUUAUCUUCUUUGAGGUUGAUAAGACGCUGGGCUCACUGAUUAAUUGAAAAAUUAUCAGUUUGUUUCAGCAGAACCUUGACAACUGCAUAGGAAAAGUCUGAAAAAAAA